GAUGAACGCUGGCGGCGUGCCUAAUACAUGCAAGUCGAGCGAACAGACGAGGAGCUUGCUCCUCUGACGUUAGCGGCGGACGGGUGAGUAACACGUGGAUAACCUACCUAUAAGACUGGGAUAACUUCGGGAAACCGGAGCUAAUACCGGAUAAUAUAUUGAACCGCAUGGUUCAAUAGUGAAAGACGGUUUUGCUGUCACUUAUAGAUGGAUCCGCGCCGCAUUAGCUAGUUGGUAAGGUAACGGCUUACCAAGGCAACGAUGCGUAGCCGACCUGAGAGGGGGAUCGGCCACACCGGAACUGGGACACGGUUCAGACUCCUACGGGAGGCAGCAGUAGGGAAUCUUCCGCAAUGGGCGAAAGCCUGACGGAGCAACGCCGCGUGAGUGAUGAAGGUCUUCGGAUCGUAAAACUCUGUUAUUAGGGAAGAACAAAUGUGUAAGUAACUAUGCACGUCUUGACGGUACCUAAUCAGAAAGCCACGGCUAACUACGUG
rnacentral:rRNA from 1 species